rnacentral:rRNA from 1 species
CAGUCGCCGCGGUAAUACGGAGGGCGCGAGCGUUACCCGGAUUUACUGGGCGUAAAGGGCGUGUAGGCGGCCUGGGGCGUCCCAUGUGAAAGGCCACGGCUCAACCGUGGAGGAGCGUGGGAUACGCUCAGGCUAGAGGGUGGGAGAGGGUGGUGGAAUUCCCGGAGUAGCGGCGAAAUGCGCAGAUACCGGGAGGAACGCCGAUGGCGAAGGCAGCCACCUGGUCCACUUCUGACGCUGAGGCGCGAAAGCGUGGGGAGCAAACCGGAUUAGAUACCCGAGUAGUCCCUGUCUCUUAUAC